GCAUUUUAACAAAUAAUCCACACGCCUGCCGACACAUUCCACGGGGUGCCGACGGAAGCUUCGAAGAGAGGUUUACUGUCGGUUCGUGGUCUGGGCAGGCGGAGGCAAAAC
rnacentral:sRNA from 1 species